GACGAACGCUGGCGGCGUGCCUAAUACAUGCAAGUAGAACGCUGAAGAGAGGAGCUUGCUCUUCUUGGAUGAGUUGCGAACGGGUGAGUAACGCGUAGGUAACCUGCCUUGUAGCGGGGGAUAACUAUUGGAAACGAUAGCUAAUACCGCAUAACAAUGGAUGACACAUGUCAUUUAUUUGAAAGGGGCAAUUGCUCCACUACAAGAUGGACCUGCGUUGUAUUAGCUAGUAGGUGAGGUAACGGCUCACCUAGGCGACGAUACAUAGCCGACCUGAGAGGGUGAUCGGCCACACUGGGACUGAGACACGGCCCAGACUCCUACGGGAGGCAGCAGUAGGAAAUCUUCGGCAAUGGGGGCAACCCUGACCGAGCAACGCCGCGUGAGUGAAGAAGGUUUUCGGAUCGUAAAGCUCUGUUGUAAGUCAAGAACGAGUGUGAGAGUGGAAAGUUCACACUGUGACGGUAGCUUACCAGAAAGGGACGGCUAACUACGUG
rnacentral:rRNA from 1 species